UACAGAGGUCUCAAGCGUUGUUCGGAUUCAUUGGGCGUAAAGGGUGCGUAGGCGGGGCGAUAAGUCAGUGGUGAAAUCCUGCAGCUCAACUGUAGAAUUGCCAUUGAUACUGUCGUUCUUGAGUACGCUCGACGUAGGCGGAAUGUGCCGUGUAGCGGUGAAAUGCGCAGAUAUCGGGAGGAACACCUAUGGCGAAGGCAGCUCGCUGGGACGUUACUGAGCUGAGGCGCGAAAGCGUGGGGAGCAAACAGG
rnacentral:rRNA from 1 species